rnacentral:tRNA from 1 species
GGAGGGAUGGCUGAGCGGUCGAAAGCAGCCGUCUUGAAAACGGCCGGGUGAUGAGCCCCGUGGGUUCGAAUCCCACUCCCUCCGCCC